AACGAACGCUGGCGGCGUGGAUUAGGCAUGCAAGUCGAACGGAGUAUCUAGCUUUUUCGGAUGCUUAGUGGCGAAAGGGUGAGUAACACGUGGGUAAUUUGCCCUAGGGAUUGGGAUAACCUGUCGAAAGAUGGGCUAAUACCGGAUACGUUCUGCUGUGAUUUCACAGCAGAGGAAAGAUGGGGAUUCGUAAGGACCUAUCGCCCUUGGAUAAGCCCGCGGCCUAUCAGCUUGUUGGUGAGGUAACGGCUCACCAAGGCUAAGACGGGUAGCUGGUCUGAGAGGAUGGUCAGCCACACUGGGACUGAGACACUGCCCAGACUCCUACGGGUGGCAG
rnacentral:rRNA from 1 species